GAUGAACGCUGGCGGCGUGCCUAAUACAUGCAAGUCGAGCGAACAGAUGAGGAGCUUGCUCCUCUGACGUUAGCGGCGGACGGGUGAGUAACACGUGGAUAACCUACCUAUAAGACUGGGAUAACUUCGGGAAACCGGAGCUAAUACCGGAUAAUAUAUUGAACCGCAUGGUUCAAUAGUGAAAGACGGUUUUGCUGUCACUUAUAGAUGGGUCCGCGCCGCAUUAGCUAGUUGGUAAGGUAACGGCUUACCAAGGCAACGAUGCGUAGCCGACCUGAGAGGGUGGUCGGCCACACUGGAACUGAGACACGGUCCAGACUCCUACGGGAGGCAGCAGUAGGGAAUCUUCCGCAAAGGGCGAAAGCCUGACGGAGCAACGCCGCGUGAGUGAUGAAGGUCUUCGGAUCGUAAAACUCUGUUAUUAGGGAAGAACAAAUGUGUAAGUAACUAUGCACGUCUUGACGGUACCUAAUCAGAAAGCCACGGCUAACUACGUG
rnacentral:rRNA from 1 species